AAUUUCACUGGAUUUAAAAUCUUUCCCAGAAAGGUGUUUAUCUCGUAUCUGUUUUCAUGGAACACUUGCUUGAACCAUGCUAAAGACACACAAUCCUACUGAUGGACAACUAUAGUGUUUGAAAUGAGAGGUAUACUCCAUAGGCUAUGUAUUUGGACACUUGUUUCCCAGUUGGCUAUGGUUAGAGAGGCUAUGAAUCUGUUAGGAGGUGUGACUCUGUUAAAGGAUGCCACACAGGGUGGUCAAUGAGAAUUUAGAGCCUUACUGAACUUCCAGUUCACUCUUCUGCUUCCCACAUGUGAAUGGAGAGCGACAUCUCAGCUUGCUGUUCUGGACACCUGCCGCCAUUCCUCCUGUAAUUGGUUGAUCUGAUGCUGUCUGCAAUCCUCAAGAUGACCUUGAACUCAGAGAUUUAAUCUUCUGGAAUCCAUAGCCACUAUGCCUCAAGAUCUCCAUACCAAGAUCCAGAUCAGAAACUUCUAUCUCCCAGCCCCCAGAUAAGGGUCACUGUGGUCUUUGUUUGUUGUGGCUUCAUGGAGAGAAACACACCAAAGAACUUCUGGUGGUAUUCUGGCUGGUUCUUACCACUUCCAUGGACUUGUGCCAUUUGGUGGAGCCUCACAGUUUCUUCUGGACCGAGCUGCUGCUACUGAUUCAUGUGUGAUGUUUGCCGAGUGGACUGGACUCCUGACAGUGAACAAUGGAAUCGCACCCAAAGAACUUCUGAACAGUUCCAGGGGGAGAGUCCAUGAUGGCAGGAGAAAUGUUGCAGCAAACAUCUGGAGCAAGAAAUGGAGAGACCACAUUCUCAACCACAGGGAGAAAACAGAGAGAACAAACUGGAAGUAAGGCAAACUUAUAAGCUCUCAGAGCCCUCCCCCUGUGAUGUAUUUCCUCCAGCAAGUCUUUAUGUCCUAAGUUCUAUAAAACCUCCAAACAGCAUCACCAGCUGGGGAUCAAAUGCUCAAAUAUAUGGGUCUAUGGAGGACAUUUUUCAUUCAAACCACCACAGACUUGGAUAUGGUGGUGUAUACCUGAAAUUCUAGAAUGGAAGCUAUUAAAGAGUUUGUGACCCCUGG
rnacentral:lncRNA from 1 species